CUCUCUUUUACUUUAUUUAAGAUGCAAACUGAUGAACUCGAUGUCCUAUUCCGUCUUGCCUUUGUGGUCUUAUGCUUGGGUGUGUUGAUAUGCGUUUAUAACAUAACAAGACCUAGAGGUAUAUAUAUAACGCAUUCGUUAAUGGAGAGGAAGCAGAAUUAGACAUGACUGAGGCAGAGAUAAGAGCUGACGAGAUUUGCGGCGCAUUUAAUAACGAAAAGAAAGGCAAACAAAAACAUAACAAGGCUAAAUUUGGACGUGUUGAGACAAGCAAGGCAGCGAAUUCCGAGGCAGUGAAUCAAGCAACAAUUGAGUACGUGACUGGAGAAAAGCAGCGGCUUACUUAUAGAGAUAAAAGUAAUUGAGACCUUAAUUCAGUGAGAAGCACCAGAAGGAAUCUAAUCUGUAACAUUCAAUUUGCAAUCUAUUGCAAUCGAACUUUAUCGUUAUCGUACUAUUA